rnacentral:lncRNA from 1 species
CGAGACGCUGGACGCCGAAGACAUCAAGGCGAUCGUGAACGGCGAGAAGCUGAAGGCGGAGCGCAGCAAGGGCAAGGAGCCCGCGCCCGCGCCCGCGCCCGCCGCCGCGCCGCACGCCGGCCUGCUGCCCGCCACCGCCUAGUGCGCACACACCUACAUUCGUUUCGACGCCCGCCGCCACAGUGUACUGAGAAUUUUGCAGGCCGCGACACAGCAAUAAAAAUAAGCAAAACUAACGGAGUUUUCAUUGUAGCUAGACCUGUGGGCUCUGUACCGAUAAAUUGUGAGGAAAUUAUCAUGAAUUUUUUUGAAGCUGAAUGAUUAAAUACCUAAAAAAAUAAGAAAAAAGUUCUGUUUUUCACUAGUCCUCUUGAGUGUUCUGUUUUUUAUUGUAAAAGUAGUUUUGGCGCCAAGCAAAAAGCCUUCUAAAUCCUUCUCCUUAGUGUAAUAAACGGUUUCCUGAAAACCACAUCAAAAUCAUUAAAACAGCGCCUGUUUUUCUUUAUGACAUAACACCCUCUAUUUUUUUCUACCUUGAUUUAUACGUGCAAAAUGGAGUGCAUAUAAAAGAAUGGAUUAGUUAAAAUUUAGCAAAUAUAACCCAAUAGUCGGUACAGAGCACGCGUUUGUAGAUUAUUGUUUUAAAUAAAGGUCGUUGACACUGCGACAUAAAGUUACGUUUACAUAGAAAUACUUGUCACAGUUUAAAUAACAUUGAAAAAAAUGUGAAUAGUAUCGUGCUUCUGCUGUGAAGGUGUAGUACAGGGAGUGAUCUGCUAGCAUCGUGAAUUAGUUCAAUACAUGGUGUAUUGAACUAAUUCACGAUGUGCAAAUUAUAUACCAAAAUACAAGAAAGGUCUUGAAUGCCAAUACUGAAUUUGUCACGUAAAAAUUACUCCGAUUUUUAAGAAAACAUAAAUUCAUUAUGUUUCCCUUUUUUAUGAGGUGCACGUUUUGUGGAAGAUUAUUAUUCAGUGCAAAUAGACGUUUAAGAUUUAGAGGGUUUUAAAACGGUCUGCUCACCUUGCCUCGCUAUUCAUUUAAUGGCUUUAAUUUGUUAUUGCGAUCAAAUUGCAUCAAAAAUCUCACUUUGCAACACCACUAACUUAUUUAGAAACAAUUUGUCAGUCUUUCAAGAUUGCUGGCUCCGUUUACAACGCAAGGGAUAUAGACGUGAUUAUAUGAAUGAAUGAACAAUUUGGUAAGCAACCAAAUUGCAAAGUGAGUAGAACGGUUUAGACGUGUAAACUACCGACUUUUUUGUUCUCGUUUUAUCUGAAGUUAAACUCGGGUUAUUAAAAAUUUCAUUUGUAACUCGCUUUUCGUAAGACUUGGGGUUAUUGUGACGUAAAUAUUAUGUAAAUAUGAAGUUGAAUAAAUAUAGCUAGUUA